UGCAAGCCUCCCGAGCACGUCGGUACCCGGCUCCCCUCACUGAAUCACCGAGUUCUCUCCCCAGCUGUAUUUCCAAAAUGUCACUUUCUAACAAGCUGACCCUGGACAAGCUGGACGUGAAAGGGAAGCCAGUCAUUGUAAGAGUCGACUUCAAUGUUCCUAUGAAGAACAACCAGAUAACAAACAACCAGAGGAUUAAGGCUGCUGCCCCAAGCAUCAAAUUCUGCUUGGACAAUGGAUCCAAGUCAGUAGUUCUUAUGAGACACCUAGGCCGGCCUGAUGGUGUCCCUAUGCCUGACAAGUACUCCUUAGAGCCAGUUGCUGUAGAACUCAAAUCUCUGCUGGGCAAAGAUGUUCUGUUCUUGAAGGACUGUGUAGGCCCAGAAGUGGAGAAAACCUGUACCAACCCAGCUGCUGGGUCUGUCAUCCUGCAGGAGAACCUCCGCUUUCAGGUGGAGGAAGAGGGAAAGGAAAAGAUGCUUCUGGAAACAAGGCUAAAGCCGAGCCAGCCAAAUUAGCAGCUUUCCAAGCUUCACUUCCCAAGUUAGGGGAUGUCUAUGUCAGUGAUGCUUUUGGCACUGCUCACAGAGCCCACAGCUCCAUGGCAGAAGUCAAUCUGCCACAGAAGGCUGGUGGUAUUUUUGUUUUUUUGUUUUUGUUUUGUUUUUUUUGAUGAAGAAGGACCUGAACUACUUUGCCAAGGACUUGGAGAGCCCAGAGCGACACUUCCUGGCCAUCCUGGGCAGAGCUAAAGUUGCAGACAAGAUCCAGCUGAUCAAGAAUAUGCUGGACAAAGUCAGUGAGAUGAUUAUUGGUGGUGGAAUGGCAUUUACCUUCCUUAAGGUGGUCAACAACAUGGAGAUUGGCACUUCUCUGUUUGAUGAAGAGGGAGCCAAGAUUGUCAAAGACCUAAUGUCUAAAGCUGAGAAGAAUGGUGUGAAGAUUAUCUUGCCUGUUGACUUUGUCGCUGCUGGCAAGUUUGAUGAGAAUGCCAAGACUGGCCAAGCCACUGUGGCUUCUGGCAUAUCUGCUGGCAGGAUGGGCUUUGGACUGUGGUCCUGAAAGCAGCAAGAAGUAUGCUGAGGCUGUCACUCGGGCUAAGCAGAUUGUGUGGAAUGGUCCUGUGGGGGUUUUUGGGAUCCCUCCUCUGAAAAUCGCCCUGGAACACGUGUGGUUUGCAAUUUCCUGCAAAGCUGCUGCUCAUGAUGUUAUCCUACAAACAUCCAAAUCCCGGCAUAUGAGUUUCUCCAGGGCAGUCUCUGACUGGUUCCAUUGUAGGAUCUGUCCACGCCCUGCAUAUGCCUGGUACCAAAAAGGGAAACUGGGUCUGCAGGACGUUGCUGCAGUUCAGGCGUUGGCCGCGUGGGAGCAGAAGUGCAAAGUCAAAGCGUCUGGAAAAAGCGCUCAGGUUGUGGGACCAGCAGAGCAUCACCGAGGACGUCCCUGGUCGAGAACUACGUCUUUUUAUCCAUUUUAA